AGAGCGGCGGACGGGUGAGGUAACACGUGGACGAAUCCUGCCCCCGGCCCGGGACUAGGCCCCAGGGAAACCUGGAUUAAUACCGGAGUGACGACGGGGACCCGCGAAGGCGGGACCCGGGAAAGGCGCUGCGGCGCCGCCGGGGGAUGAGUCUGCGUCCCAUUAGCUAGACGGCGGGGUAACGGCCCACCGUGGCGACGGAUGGGUAGCCGGCCUGAGAGGGUGGACGGCCACAUUGGAACUGAGACACGGUCCAGACUCCUACGGGAGGCAGCAGCUAAGAAUCUUCCGCAAUGGGCGAAAGCCUGACGGAGCGACGCCGCCGUGAACGAAGAAGGCCGUGAGGUUGUAAAGUUCUUUUCGGGAGGGGGAACAACCGUGGCAGGGAAUGGCCGCGGGAUGACGUGAAUCCCGGAAUAAGCCCCGGCUAACUACGUGCCAGCAGCUGC
rnacentral:rRNA from 1 species